rnacentral:SRP_RNA from 1 species
UGAGCUCAGGGAAUUUGGGACUGUUGUGCAAUAUACACGAUUGGGUGUAAACACUAAGAUCAGCAACAAUAAGAUGACCUCCUGAGAAACAGGGACCACCAGGUUGCCAAAAGGAGGGGUGAACCAGCUGAGGUCGGACACGGAGCAGGUCAAAACUCCCGUGCUGAUCAGUAGUGGGAUCGCGCCUGUGAAUAGCCACUGCACUCCAGCCUGGGCAACAU